rnacentral:rRNA from 1 species
UACGUAGGGUGCAAGCGUUGUCCGGAAUUAUUGGGCGUAAAGAGCUCGUAGGCGGUUUGUUGCGUCGGCUGUGAAAUCCCGAGGCUCAACCUCGGGUCUGCAGUCGAUACGAGCAAACUAGAGUGUUGCAGGGGAGACUGGAAUUCCUGGUGUAGCGGUGAAAUGCGCAGAUAUCAGGAGGAACACCGGUGGCGAAGGCGGGUCUCUGGGCAACAACUGACGCUGAGGAGCGAAGGCGUGGGGAGCGAACAGG